ensembl:lncRNA
AUAACACCGCUUGUACGUCACAUAAAUAACUGCAUAAAUUCAGUCAAAGUACACUCCGAACAAUGAGAAAUUUUGACCGCUGUAUAAAUUUGAUGAAAAUUGAAAAUUAUCGACAGAUGCAGCACGCGUUUCUUUUUUAUAGUCGCUGGAAAAUGACGCAAGCGAGACGUAUAAGAGCGACCGUCUCGCGCAUGACGUUCUCUUGGAGUCGUUGCUAUCGCUUGGCGAGAACCAUCUUCUCAUCAUGAGAGCGAAGGUAAGUACCUUUUUGAUAUACAUGUUAAAUAGUUUAUCGUUCUCUAGCUAGUCUUGAUAGCAUUUUGGUGGCUAAUGCGGUACUUAUUAUACUAAUUUAGUUGUUUGUUGUGAUUUAGCUGAAUAUUAAGUUUACUUUUAACUAUGUGAAGUAAAAUGCCUAACUGAGAGAUUUAAGUUGGUGUGUUUUUUUUUUUUUUUUGUAGUGUUGUAUACUCGGGCCUACUGUGCUAACGAUAGCCCGCUAGUUUUUUCGCAGGGAUAUUGUAACCACGUUGAGUUUGCAGUUGCUGCAAGUUAUUGUUUCUGGGUUUUUUUUUUUUUUUUUAUUGACUUAAACAUUAACACUUGAAAUAAUAGUACACCAUGUUACGUAUUUAUCGCUUUUUGGUUUCUUAAUACUAAUCCGUCUGAACGCCCAUGUUGCUUAGUGAAAAUAUAGCCAGUGGCGCUAGUAGCUAAUGCGCAUGUGUAGCUUUGAGUUGCAGUGUUUCUUUAAACUGCCUAAUUCCCUUUUAACAAUCAUUUUUAUUAAUUUUGCACUUUUCUUGCAGUGGCGAAAGAAGCGUAUGCGCAGGUACGUUUGUAAACCUAGGAGCUGCAUCUUACGUUUUGUAUUGCAGUGGGCAUGAAGUGACUGAGUCCAUGUGAUUUUAGGCUGAAGCGUAAAAGGAGAAAGAUGAGGCAGAGGUCUAAGUAAACUGGACCCUGUUCGCUGAAGCUGAGAGUGCUCCUCUACUUCAAUCUCCUCAGCAAGAGUCUGCUGGAAGCCCAACUGAAGCUCCACUCAUCCACCAUCUAUGAGGUCUGCUUUCUUCUGAAUGAGGAUUUGGUUUCCCAUCACCUGGUUCUGCAGAAGCAUCCUGGUCUUGAUGACCAUGUGAACUGUUUUGGACAUUCCUUAGACCUGUCAGCUCAGCAAGUUUGUUAAUGUCUUCAAUAAAUCUUUUGGUUUAAAAAUCCUUUGCC